rnacentral:rRNA from 1 species
ACGUAGGACGCAAGCGUUAUCCGGAAUUACUGGGCGUAAAGGGCGUGUAGGCGGCACGGUAAGUCAACCGUGAAAGCUCCCGGCUAAACUGGGAGAGGUCGGAUGAGACUGCCGAGCUAGAGGGUCGUAGAGGGCGGUGGAAUUCCGGGUGUAGAGGUGAAAUGCGUAGAGAUUCGGAGGAACACCAGAGGCGAAGGCGGCAGUCUGGACGAAACCUGACGCUGAGUCGCGAAAGCGUGGGGAGCGAACGG